rnacentral:rRNA from 1 species
GUGGGGAAUCUUGCGCAAUGGGCGAAAGCCUGACGCAGCCAUGCCGCGUGAAUGAUGAAGGUCUUAGGAUUGUAAAAUUCUUUCACCGGGGACGAUAAUGACGGUACCCGGAGAAGAAGCUCCGGCUAACUUCGUGCCAGCAGCCGCGGUAAUACGAAGGGGGCUAGCGCUGCUCGGCAUUACUGGGCGUAAAGGGCGCGUAGGCGGACAGCUUAGUCAGAGGUGAAAGCCCAGGGCUCAACCUUGGAAUUGCCUUUGAUACUGGCUGUCUUGAGUUUGGGAGAGGUGAGUGGAACUCCGAGUGUAGAGGUGAAAUUCGUAGAUAUUCGGAAGAACACCAGUGGCGAAGGCGACUCACUGGCCCAAUACUGACGCUGAGGCGCGAAAGCGUGGGGAGCAAACAGGAUUAGAAACCCCAGUAGUCC